rnacentral:rRNA from 1 species
GAUCUGAGGAGGUGCAUGGCCGUCGUCAGUUCGUACUGUGAAGCAUCCUGUUAAGUCAGGCAACGAGCGAGACCCACGCCAACAGUUGCCAGCUCGUCCUCCGGGAUGGUGGGGACACUGUUGGGACCGCCUCUGCUAAAGAGGAGGAAGGAAUGGGCAACGGUAGGUCAGCAUGCCCCGAAUUAUCCGGGCUACACGCGGGCUACAAUGGGUGGGACAAUGGGUAUCGACACCGAAAGGUGAAGGCAAUCUCCUAAACCCAUCCUUAGUUCGGAUUGUGGGCUGCAACUCGCCCACAUGAAGCUGGAAUCUGUAGUAAUCGUGUCUCAACAUGGCACGGUGAAUAUGUCCCUGCUCCUUGCACACACCGCCCGUCAAACCACCCGAGUGAGGUCUUGAUGAGGCCGUCGUUUUUGCGGCGGUCGAAUCUAGGUUUUGCAAGGGGGGUUAAGUCGUAACAAGGUAGCCGUAGGGGAAUCUGCGGCUG